UUUUUGCAUUUUGGUUUAUAACUUCUCUCAGUUUUCUCUCCAACCUCUACCACACAUUGUAAUUGAGGAAGCUAAGUGAUGUAGUGGAUAGAGUGCUGGACUUAGAGUCUGAAAGUCCUGAGUUUGAUUCCUACCUCAGACAUUUACUAACUGUAUGACCUUGGGUGGAAGCGGAAGGCUGCAGAAUGCUGAGUGGAGAGGCUGGAGAGGGGGAAGAGAGCCCAAUAUUAUAUGACUUCAAAGGGGUUUUUUACUCAGGAGAUGUUUAUAAAACAUGUGGAAUAAUUGACUUCCUGCCUUCGCUUCCCCAUAUUCUUACAUGGAAGAAAAGGUAUAUGGACCCUUUCCUAUGA
rnacentral:lncRNA from 1 species